GCGCGAGUGGCGGAAUUGGUAGACGCGCUGGCUUCAGGUGCCAGUGUUCGCAAGAACGUGGGGGUUCAAGUCCCCCCUCGCGCACCA
rnacentral:tRNA from 1 species